rnacentral:misc_RNA from 1 species
UGAAAACCAGUGGAUCUGAUCAUCAGCCAUCAAAAGAUAAGUAUCCCAUCUUGAUGCCCACUUGAUAUCACUUUCCUCAAAUUCAACAUCAUAUGUGAAGAUGAUUUCCUUCUUAUCUUCAACCUCUUGGGGAGAAUCAGAACUUGUAACAGUACGUUUGGCAUGGGGAUCACAAGUGGUCAAUCGAUUUUUGCCAUUCCAUUCCCCAUCAUAUUCGUGUUUCACACUGAAUGGUUUCACUUCAAAUCCUACAACUCUCGCAGCAUCAGUUUGUGGAUCCUUGUGAAACUUGACAGUGAAUGUCAGAUGAUUAUGGAUGAAAUGCUUCUCCUCCUUGCUUCCAGCAUAUUGUCCCUUAAGACCAACAUGAAAACCAUGCUGAUAGACUGUAGUGUCCAGAUCAGGCCUUUUGAUAGGCAUAACAAGAGGAAGAUUGUCCAAGAUCAUGUUGACCCGAUACUCAUCUUCAAUCUUCUCUUUUAACUCUUUGGCAUUCUUUGCAUUGAGAACAACACGACACACAACAUUGCACAUCUGUGGUUCUCUCAUAUGGAACUCAAAAGGAGAGUUCUCAAUACGAUCACCACGAAGAACUUCACCAAGAUUCUCUGCACUGUCAACAAUUUGUUUUGGCGUGCAGUAAGGAAGGGAAUAAUAGGAAUAAGGAAGUUGUGUUUUU